rnacentral:rRNA from 1 species
CAGCCGCCGCGGGAAUACGAAGGGUGCAAGCGUUACUCGGAAUUACUGGGCGUAAAGCGUGCGUAGGUGGUGGUUUAAGUCCGUUGUGAAAGCCCUGGGCUCAACCUGGGAAUUGCAGUGGAUACUGGGUCACUAGAGUGUGGUAGAGGAUAGUGGAAUUUCCGGUGUAGCAGUGUAAUGCGUAGAGAUCGGGAGGAACAUCAGUGGCGAAGGCGGCCAUCUGGGACAACACUGACGCUGAGGCACGAAAGCGUGGGGAGCAAACAGGAUUAGAUACCCCCGUAGUCCCUGUCUAUUAUAC